UAACAGUUUGGGCCUUAGCCCAUCUCAGUACAACAUCAAAUAUGCAGUAGGGUCUUAGCGCAUCACAGCAUCAGUAGCAAAAAUUUGGCAGCAAUAAAGAGAAAAUCGAUAAGAGGGUGGAGGGAUUUUGGGGAAAGUAAAAGAAAAGGAAAAAAAUAAAAAAAAUAAAGAUGAAUAGAAUAUUUGAUAACCACCCUAAUCCCUUAUUUCUCUCCAUCAAUCUCCCCACUAAAUCCAUUACUCAGAUUUUUAGUCCAUAUCAAACUCUCCUGGACGCAUGAACAAAAAUAAUGCCCACGCCAAGAUUCGAACACAGGACCUCCUUUACACCAAC
rnacentral:lncRNA from 1 species